CGGAACGCGAAAUAUACGAUCGGAAUAUUUUUAAUGUGUUAAAAUUGUUCUGUGUGUCUGGAUUAUAACUUUUGUUUCAUUGGAGAUCGAGGUAUUUUCCCUAAUCUUUCGUGAAACCACACAAAAACGUGAUGCAGUUUCAAUUCUUCAUUUGAUUCACAUCUGUUUUGCCAUAUAUGCCCUUGUUUUAGUUUACGGAAACUGCAGAAAUCUAAAAUAUUGCCCGAACAAGGAUGUCUCACGUCAGAUAGAACGUGGAGAUGAACCUAGUUAAACUUAACUAAAAAUGUAAUCAUCCUUAGUUGAAAGAAGGUUCUCUGACCAGGAUUUUAAAGUCAUUCAAAGUGGUUGCCAGUUUAUUUUUUUAUAAGAAAAUAAAAGAAUUGAUCAAUUUACAAUUUUUCAAAUUUUUGUAAAUCAGUUGAGUCAUGUUUAUCUCCUUCAAGUGACAUAUUAAAAGCCCAUAAUGAGUCAUAAAUGGACUUUGUUCUAUUUUAUAUAUUGAAAAUGGCUCAGCAGUAGAUAAAUCCGUAUAGCUCAUAUAGCUAUAAAAGUGACUAAUGUAGGUCACCAAUAAUUUUAAAGGUUUCAA